rnacentral:pre_miRNA from 1 species
GGAGCCACGGGGAGGGAUCCCAAUCCAGCCUUAGGAAAACAAACCUGCCACAGAGUCUUGGAGAUUGGUGACUGUGUUAAUGACUUA